GAUACCCUGGUAGUCCACACUGUAAACGAUGGAUACUAGGUGUAGGGUGUAUUAAACAUUCUGUGCCGCCGCAAACGCAUUAAGUAUCCCACCUGGGGAGUACGACCGCAAGGUUGAAACUCAAAGGAAUUGACGGGGGCCCGCACAAGCAGUGGAGUAUGUGGUUUAAUUCGAAGCAACGCGAAGAACCUUACCAGGGCUUGACAUAUACAGGAAUAAGUAAGAGAUUACUUAGCUCUUCGGAGUCUGUAUACAGGUGGUGCAUGGUUGUCGUCAGCUCGUGUCGUGAGAUGUUGGGUUAAGUCCCGCAACGAGCGCAACCCCUGUCCUUAGUUGCCAGCACGUAAAGGUGGGAACUCUAAGGAGACUGCUGGUGAUAAAUCGGAGGAAGGUGGGGAUGACGUCAAAUCAUCAUGCCCUUUAUGUCCUGGGCUACACACGUACUACAAUGGCCGUGACAGAGAGAAACGAAGUAGUGAUGCAGAGUAAAACUCAAAAAACGGUCUCAGUUCGGAUUGAAGGCUGAAAUUCGCCUUCAUGAAGCUGGAAUUGCUAGUAAUGGCAGGUCAGCAUACUGCCGUGAAUACGUUCCCGGGCCUUGUACACACCGCCCGUCACACCAUGAGAGUUGGAAAUACCCGAAGCCUGUGAGCUAACUUAAAGAGGCAGCAGUCGAAGGUAGAGCCAAUGAUUGGGGUGAAGUCGUAACAAGGUAAC
rnacentral:rRNA from 1 species